rnacentral:rRNA from 1 species
AGUGAACGCUGGCGGUAGGCCUAACACAUGCAAGUCGAACGGCAGCACAGUAAGUGCUUGCUCUUACGGGUGGCGAGUGGCGGACGGGUGAGGAAUACAUCGGAAUCUACUUUUUCGUGGGGGAUAACGUAGGGAAACUUACGCUAAUACCGCAUACGACCUACGGGUGAAAGCAGGGGAUCUUCGGACCUUGCGCGAUUGAAUGAGCCGAUGUCGGAUUAGCUAGUUGGCGGGGUAAAGGCCCACCAAGGCGACGAUCCGUAGCUGGUCUGAGAGGAUGAUGAGGCAAACUGGAACUGGAACAAGGGCCAGACACCUAAGGGAGGGAGCAGUGGGGAAUAUUGGAAAAAGGGGGGAAACCUGGUCCAAGCAAAACGGGUGGGUGAAAAAAGGCUUGGGGUUGUAAAGGCCUUUUGUUGGGAAAGAAAAGGAGGAGGUUAAAAACCCGGUGUUUUGGCGGUAACCAAAGAAUAAGGAACGGCUAACUUUGUG